GACGAACGCUGGCGGCGUGCCUAAUACAUGCAAGUCGAGCGGACCAAAGAGAGCUUGCUCUCUGAGGUUAGCGGCGGACGGGUGAGUAACACGUGGGUAACCUGCCUGUAAGACGGGGAUAACUUCGGGAAACCGAAGCUAAUACCGGAUGAUAAAGAGAAACGCCUGUUUCUUUUUUGAAAGUCGGCCUUGUGCUGACGCUUACAGAUGGGCCCCCGGCGCAUUAGCUAGUUGGGGAGGUAACGGCCCACCAAGGCGACGAUGCGUAGCCGACAGGAGAGGGUGAGCGGCAACACGGGGACUGUGAGACGGCCCAGACUCCGACUGGAGGCAGCAGUAGUGAAUCUUCGGCAAUGGGCGAAAGUCUGACCGAGCAACGCCGCGUGAGGGAUGAAGGCCUUCGGGUCGUAAAGCUCUGUUGUCAGAGAAGAACAAGUACCGGAGUAACUGCCGGUACCUUGACGGUACCUGACCAGAAAGCCACGGCUAACUACGUGCCAGCCGCCGCCGUAA
rnacentral:rRNA from 1 species